UACGAGGGGGGCUAGCGUUGCUCGGAAUCACUGGGCGUAAAGCGCACGUAGGCGGAUCUUUAAGUCAGGGGUGAAAUCCCAAGGCUCAACCUUGGAACUGCCUUUGAUACUGGGGAUCUCGAGUCCGGAAGAGGUUGGUGGAACUGCGAGUGUAGAGGUGAAAUUCGUAGAUAUUCGCAAGAACACCAGUGGCGAAGGCGGCCAACUGGUCCGGUACUGACGCUGAGGUGCGAAAGCGUGGGGAGCGAACAGG
rnacentral:rRNA from 1 species